UUUUCUGUGGUUGACCUCGGAUCAGGUAGGAAUACCCGCUGAACUUAAGCAUAUCAAUAAGCGGAGGA
rnacentral:rRNA from 1 species